UACGUAGGGUGCGAGCGUUAAUCGGAAUUACUGGGCGUAAAGCGUGCGCAGGCGGUCUGUUAAGACAGAUGUGAAAUCCCCGGGCUUAACCUGGGAACUGCAUUGUGACUGGCAGGCUUUGAGUGUGGCAGAGGGGGGUAGAAUUCCACGUGUAGCAGUGAAAUGCGUAGAGAUGUGGAGGAAUACCGAUGGCGAAGGCAGCCCCCUGGGCCAACACUGACGCUCAUGCACGAAAGCGUGGGGAGCAAACAGG
rnacentral:rRNA from 1 species